UUUAAUGAAGGGUUCAUGGGAACACUGGUCGCAUUCCUUGUCAUGCUCUUUCUGUGCAAGGCAUUAAAGAUGUGGUAGCAUUUUUGGAGAACUAUGCUGAAGACUACACCAUAUUACUACCUGGGAGGAUACCUGGAGUGAGGGAUUAUGGGAAGGCCAAGCUAUUGCCGUCCAGUGUGUCCCGACGCAAGGUUUACCGGCAGUAUGCUGAUGCUGGUAGGGAACAUACUCUCUGUGAAAGUCCUACUUGUGCAAAUAGAGUAUCGAAGAGUAAAAGUAAAAGCGCAUUCUCUAUCUCAGGAUUUAAAUAAAGAAGUUGCCUUUUCUGUUAAUGUACAGUGAACAUCUCAUAAUCAAGA